rnacentral:lncRNA from 1 species
GGAAACUGGAUGUUCUCCUAAAACAGCCACCUAGCCAAGCUGAACCAACAGAGAUGUAUUGAUCACCGGGUCAAUGGAACUAGGUGGGUGCUGGGGGGAAAGUCAGCAGGUAAGUCAGGUGAGGACUGCCUCCCUUCCACUCCCCACCCAGAGACUGAAGACAGACAGACAGACAGAGGCGUUCAUUCAGAAAGAAGUAGGAGGGCUUCAGGGAUUCAGCGGAGGAGACUGAAAGCCUGAGAGACGAUGCCUCUGAGAAGGUUACAGACCUUGGGAGAAAGCGCUUUCACCUCCUCACCACAGACACUCUCGACUGUGGACUCAGGACACUAAGCCAGAAAGGUGACGAUUUCCUUCUUGAACCCGGCCUGCAUCAGCAGCUCAGACCCAGGGCUCCGGGUCCUUUGCUCUAUGUCCAGUGCUCUUUUUGCUCCCUCACACACUUAGCGAUGGCAGUGUUCUUAGUAUACUCAAAGAGCUUUGUAAUGAAUUAGAGCAGCCAUUCCCAACCUUCCUAGUGCUGCGGUCCUUUAAUACAGUUUCUUAAGUUGUGGCGAACCAUCCCCCCCACCCCCAACCAUAACAUUAUUCUUGCUGCUGCUGUUAUGAAUCGUAAUGAAACAUUUGAUCUGCAGUACAUCUGAUAUGUGAUUCCCGAGAAAGGGCCAUCAUAUUCCAAGGGAUCGGGACCCACAGCGUGAGAAGCCCUGAACUAGAGAUCCGCCUAAACUGAGAAACAACCUAGCACCUAUCCCAGCCCAUCAAUGUUGUAUAUGGCAACAGAUUCAAAAGCCCAGACUAAAACAUACUCACCAUCCAUGUUACCAGCUCUCACCAUGGGGCAGCAAUGUGGAUUUAGUAAGCAUAGCCCACGGGCACUCAUUUUGAAGACACUAGGAGAACUUCAAAGCCAGGUUUGUUCUUCUGCCUCUGGUGACAUUUUUAAAAUUUCAGCACUGUUUUUUUUUUUAAUUGAUUCUUUGUGAAUUUCAUAUCAUGCACCUCAGUCCUGCACAUCUCCUGUCCCCUCCCUCCCUCCAACCUCCACCCUUCCCCAACAAAGAAAAAUAAGUCCCCACUAUGGAAGCUGUAGUGUGCCAUCGUGUGUCCUUUUGUCCACACUUCUUUGCUUGCAAGUGCUCAUUGCAUUGACUUUGUUGGUCUGGUACGAGUCAGGCCUCUGGCUUCUGCUAUGCUAACGAUGCUAGAACCUUACUGAGACUCCUCUAGGGUAGACUGUUGUCACCCCGUGUGUCAUGGAGACCCUGUAGUUUUGGAUCUGCAGGACUGGCUUCUUCACGUACUCCAGCAGUUCAUUGAUGGGAUAGACGUGGGGUGGGCUAACUCAAAGCCCUGGAUCUGGGCCUGAGAGGUGUCUGAGCUGCUCAGCCCACCAGCUCUCCAGUUCUUGUGGCCUUUGGAUUGGCUCGCCAGCAACCCCCUCUCCCAGGGCUAGCUCUCCUGGCUGACCAGGUCGGUCCUUAUAUUUGCUUUAGGAACCUGACAAGACUGACUAGCCAUCUCUAGCAUUCAGAUAGGUGGAACUUCAUUGUGCUGAAGUUAUGUUUGAGCACCCUCUGCUGGACAAAUCAGAUGCUCUAUGACUACCAACAAUGUACCAGUGGUAUUCGUCUCUUGCAGAUCUGGAAGAAAAUGAAAUUUAGGUACAUACAGUCACGAACAGAUACCUAGAUGACACAUUUAAAACCCUCAAACACAGUGGAGAUGAGACCAGCAUAAUAUUAAGCUCUUCUCCCUCACAAACACCUGUGCUACCCACACUCACAGGCAAAAAAAAUAUACACAACUGCCAGACUGCAAUGCCUCCCAAUUUAUUGGCCAAAUCUAGAUUCUGCUAGCCCUGUAUAUUCACUCAGAAAGCCAGGCUUCAGACACACCAUGAGUGAUGAGAAAUCCAUUUCAUCAGCAGAGGCAUCUUGCCUAUCUUCAGGAAGCCUACAGACUUCCAGGGAAGCAGGGGGGAAAUCAAGACGUGUCUGACUAUGAGCUGGGGUAAGGGAAGCCUCCGUGUGAAGAUGUGACCUAGUUAGGACAGCUGCCGGAAAGCAGGACUGGCAAGCUUGGUGGUUUGUACACCGGGCCUUGGGAGACUUGGGACACAAACACGAGGUCUUCUGAGGAUGUUUGUGAGUUGCUGGGUUACACAAAAAGAUUCUAGCUCAACAAGCAAAGAAGCGAAGGGGAGGGAAGGGGAGGAAAGGGAGGAGAAGAAAGGAAGUGGGAAGAGAAAAUGGGGCCAAGAAAAGCCCCAAACAUCCCAUAAGCACCCAGAACAGUGUCCCCACCGCGAACCAACCGGGAACCAAAGUGUUCACACCAGAUGAGCUCGUGGAAGGGCUUUUUGCCAAUUGUUCAUGGGUCCCCAGUGAUGAUGGAAUAUUGCGACUUACGUUUCAACCGUUUAAAAAUUUACUGUUAUUAUUUAUGCAUUUCAGUGUUUUGUCUGUUACACGCUCUGUAACUCCAGUUGCAGAAAAUGUAAAACUUUUCUGCCCCCUCCCCCUCCGGCAACCGGGCACAGACAUUUACGGGAGGCUGUGGCUACUUUAGGAGAUGUGAGCGAGCAGUCUCCUUCCUGCUGCUGCAGCUGCAAGCUGCUCCUGCCGCCCAUGCCUUCUCUACUGCCAUGCCUUCCCUACCACAAGGGCCAGAACUCUCACACUGAAAGCCAGAAUAAAUCCUUCCUCUCUUCGGUUGGUUGUUGUCAGGAGAAGGCAGCAGCUGGCAUCAAUGGUGUGGUGAGGAGAGAAUCAAGUUUCCUUCUCCAGUUCAAACAGACGAAAGUGAAGCGACAUAGGCUCAAGGACAGGGUCACUGGGCUAGCGCCACACCAUGGAGCCAAACCCCGAGCCUUCUAAAUUGUGAGCUGGGCAUGGUGGUUCACCCCAGGAAUCGCAGCACUGAGGGAUGAAGGCGAGAGAGUCACUGUGGGUGUGACAUCAGUCUGGCCUGAAGUCUGAGACUGUUUUUUUAAAAAGAAAACAUUUUUUUAUGUCAUAUAUUUAAUUAUAUAAAGAUUCUGUUGUUUUGUUGUUGUUGUUGUUAAAAUUCAGCCAGGAAAUUUCCAUCUGUCUGGUGUUAAUUGGUUGUUUUUCAGCACUAAUUGGGAAAUGAUAUAUUUUUAUUGUUUUAUAAAUAGAGUAAAACCCCUCAGAAACUGCUGGGGAAAUUUAAACAAGGAAAGCAAUUCUAUGUCCUUGCUUGACACCAGUUUGUCCCAGAGGUGACACAACUGUGUAGUUUUUGAAAACACUGGGCAUUUAUAUAUAUAUGAGACAAAACCCCACUGUAUAGCCCUGGCUAACUCGAAACUCACUAUGUAAAUCAGGCUGGGCUUUGACACACAGAGCUCUGCCUUUGCCUACUCAGUGUUGGGAUUUAACACCCACACCACCAUAGCCAGCCUUCUCUCCAAGGGGCAAAUUUCUUUCUGAAGCAACUUCCUCAUUUAUUAACAGUAUUGCUUCCAGACCCCGUGUGUGUGUGUGUGUGUGUGUGUGUGUGUGUGUGUGUGUGUACAGAUAUGUGUUUGCAAGUAUUUAGACACAAGUUGAUGCAGACUACACCAGUUUCAUGAAAUUGUUCCCAUGUCAGUGGCUAGUCUGAGCCUUUUGUACUUGUAAACAGCUGGCUGUAAACUGGGGAUUCCCAUACUCUCCUCUUCAGCCCCAUAAUUAUCAUGGUGAUUUGCAACCUGUAGGUAAUGACCCGUUUGGCUCAUAUAUCAGAUAUUCUGCAUGUCAGAUAUUUAUAUUUUGAUUCAUAACAAUAGUAAAAUUAUAGUUAUGAAGUAGUAAUGUAAAUAGUUACACUGUGGGGGUCACCACAACACGAGGAACUGUGUUAAAUGGCUUCAGCAAUAGGAAGGUUGAGAGCCACUGAUUUAUUAGGUCAUUUCAUGGAUCGUGGGGAUGCUUUCUACUUUCAUCUAUUGUUUAUUACAAAAGAUGUAGACAGACAGAUAGAUAGACAGACUCACAGAUAAAUAGAAAAAUAGAUGACAGAAAGAUAGAAAGUUAGGUAAAAAGAUAAAAAGAUAGGUAGAUGCUAGAAAGAUAGAUAGACUCAAAGACAAAUAGAAAGAUAGAUAAUAGAGAAAGGUGGAAAGAAAAAUAGAUAGAUGAUGGAAAGAUAGGUAGAUAGACUGACAGAAUGA